rnacentral:rRNA from 35 species
UGCAGAAUCCCGUGAACCAUCGAGUCUUUGAACGCAAGUUGCGCCCGAAGCCAUUAGGCCGAGGGCACGUCUGCCUGGGCGUCA